rnacentral:rRNA from 1 species
ACGAACGCUGGCGGCGUGCUUAACACAUGCCAGUCGAACGGAAAGGCCCUGCUUUUGUGGGGUGCUCGAGUGGCGAACGGGUGAGUAACACGUGAGUAACCUGCCCUUGACUUUGGGAUAACUUCAGGAAACUGGGGCUAAUACCGGAUAGGAGCUCCUGCUGCAUGGUGGGGGUUGGAAAGUUUCGGCGGUUGGGGAUGGACUCGCGGCUUAUCAGCUUGUUGGUGGGGUAGUGGCUUACCAAGGCUUUGACGGGUAGCCGGCCUGAGAGGGUGACCGGCCACAUUGGGACUGAGAUACGGCCCAGACUCCUACGGGAGGCAGCAGUGGGGAAUAUUGCACAAUGGGCGGAAGCCUGAUGCAGCAACGCCGCGUGCGGGAUGACGGCCUUCGGGUUGUAAACCGCUUUCGCCUGUGACGAAGCGUGGGUGACGGUAAUGGGUAAAGAAGCACCGGCUAACUACGUG